AGAGUUUGAUCAUGGCUCAGAACGUACGCUGGCGGCACGCCUAACACAUGCAAGUCGAACGAAGUAGCAAUACUUAGUGGCGAACGGGUGAGUAUAAUGUGGGUAUCUGCCUUUUGGUUUGGAAUAACACGGGGAAACUUGUGCUAAUACUAGAUAAGCCUUUACAGGGAAAGCUUUAGCGCCGAAAGAUGAGCCCACACUUGAUUAGCUAGUUGGUAAGGUAAUGGCUUACCAAGGCUACGAUCAAUAGUUGAUCUGAGAGGAUGAUCAGCCACAUUGGGACUGAGACACGGCCCAAACUCCUACGGGAGGCAGCAGUGGGGAAUCUUGCACAAUGGGGGAAACCCUGAUGCAGCGAUGCCGCGUGAGUGAAGAAGGCCUUUGGGUUGUAAAGCUCUUUCGUCGGGGAAGAAAAUGACUGUACCCGAAUAAGAAGGUCCGGCUAACUUCGUGCCAGCAGCCGCGGUAAUUC
rnacentral:rRNA from 1 species